rnacentral:sRNA from 1 species
GACGGUCAAGCGCAGCGCGUGUAGAGGUCUCCGCAAGGAGGCAGCCCUGAAUGGGUGGGAUCCUUGAAGCUGGGGGCCGUCGCCAA